UACUACACGCUUCAGCAGCAAGUCUACCAAAUGACAACAAUACCAAGAUUAACAUGGCACUUGCACAAGGAUAAUAUAAAAAUUUGUGAAGUACUCCAUAUUUUU